rnacentral:lncRNA from 1 species
CUCCCCACUUUCCAUUUCAUGAUAACCUCUAACACUGUGAGAAGAUCUUACUUUCUCCAGCUCUACCUUGAAAACUACUAAGCCGAGGAUGGGGCGAAUUAAAAGCAACAAACAAUGCCCCAAAGCACAGGAGUGAACUCUGUGUUCUCUGUUUGAAAAUGCACUCAUUUUUAUUGAGGACGUCUACUGGAGGCAGACACAGGAGGCAGUGCAGCGACAAAGAUGAAAAAACACAAUUUCUGACCUCAGGGAACACCGGCUACAGCUACAGGAAAAGAAUUUUACACAGGGAGACAGCAAACGUGAAAACAAUAUAGAAGCUGGGUAAUAAAAGAGGGCCCAGUGUUAUGGGGGCACUGAGAAAGGGAACCUAAGGUGCACCUAUGGGGUAGGGAGACAGUGGAUCAGGGCAAGUAGUUUCCUAGAGGAGGCAAGUCCUCUCCUGAUAGAUGAGAAGGAAUUCAAAGACAAAAAGGAGAAAGGGCCUGCAGGCACAUAAAAGGAGGCAGCAGAUGGCGCACCGUGGGGUGGCUGUGCAGCGCCAGGUGAGACCGCCUGGUCAAGGCCAAGGAAGCUCAAGGUCAAGGAGGCUGUGGGUGCCAGAGGUUCAAGACGUCUCAUCUCACCCCAUCACAGAUUAUGGAUGUAUGUCCCUUUCUUCUAGGCAGGCUGGGAUCAGACAGGUUCCCUGUGACUACCAAGAGAACGGUUGUCACUUCUGCCUAUGUAUCUUUCCAGCAGGGCUGGGACCACAUGGGAAGAAAUCUGCUGUCUAUUCCUGUCUACAAUGAUUCAGCAAUGAGGAAACAUUGACAGAGUAUCUGCUAUGUGCUAGUCACUGUAGACUUCCCCAUCUAAUCUCACAACAAACCUGUCAGGUCUAAAAGAGUCAUGGAGAUGCUGUGGUGAGGGGAGAGGCCAGGCUUAGAGACCUUCAAGAUCUUCAACACCCCCCCAACCCCAACUCUGCACUCCAAAUGGCCACUCUCCAAACACACCCCUGGAAAACAACCAAUGCUCCUCAGAGGUAAGACAUUUAAAAUCAAAUGGUAGUUUUUCCCAAAAUACAUUUAAAAAUUAUUUUCAUAGGUAAAAUUUUCUCCUCUUAUUUUAAAUUUUGCCUGUUUUUCUUUCUCAGUGUUUGACUCCUGAUACCACUUAUCUGGUGAUAAGAACUUUUGGGCCAGGCACAGUGGCUCAUCCCUGUAAUCCCAGCACUUUGGGAGGCCAAACCAGGUGGAUCACUUGAG